rnacentral:rRNA from 1 species
UGAGGAAUAUUGGGCAAUGCCCGCAAGGGUGACCCAGCAACGCCGCGUGGAGGAUGAAUGUCGUAAGAUUGUAAACUCCUGUUAGAGGGGAAGAAUAGUACCGGUUGGACCGGUAUAUGACUGUACCCUCAGAGAAAGCCCCGGCUAACUACGUGCCAGCAGCCGCGGUAAUACGUAGGGGGCAAGCGUUGUCCGGAUUUACUGGGUGUAAAGGGCGCGCAGGCGGGAUAAAAAGUCAGUGGUGAAAUCCUACAGCUUAACUGUAGAACUGCCUGUGAUAGUUUUCUUCUUGAGUUCGGGAGAGAGAGACAGAAUUCCAGGUGUCGUGGUGAAAUACGUAGAUAUCUGGAAGAACACCAGUUGCGAAGGCGGUCUCUUGGUCCGACACUGACGCUGAGGCGCGAAAGCGUGGGGAGCAAACA